UUUAUUCAAUGCUUGAAAAUCACAUGCCUAACCGAUCGCGAUGUACCACGUACGUAGAAGACCAAUAAGCAAUGUGGAACUAAUAUUAAAGAGAAAUGCAUCUUUUUGCAGUAUUCUUUGCAAAAUUGAAAUUUAAUGUGAGUUUAGAGAUAAAUAAGAUAAUUCGUACUCAAACAUAUUAAUUUCAUAGGUUAAAAACUUAUUAGAUUUUGUUGUUGAGAGGUUUCGAAGACGUGACCACGUACCUCCAUCGACGCCAUGGGAAGGCCUCAGCAAGCAACAACCUAAAGCUCAUGGAACCCAGAAAACAAAGCUAGGGAACUCAGCUCCUAGACCAGUCACAUGCGCAAACUCGAAGAACACCACAACCCCAUUAAUGGCGGAUGAUGAUGCAUGUCUUAUCUGAAAACUCGAGUUUACACCCAGAAGAUCGAGCUUGUUUUGAACCCGAAAUUCUCACCCCAAAAGCUUCAUGUCUGCAUUGGCUGACCUGUAACAACAAUCCCAGCUUGUUCUCAAAUUCUCAUGGAUAACGACGGCAAAAGUGAUCCCGUGUCUCCAUAUUACUUGAGUUAUGGAGACCAAUCGGGGAUUGUUAUCACUCGUGUAUUGUUACAGGGUGGAAAUAAGUAUAUGGCAUGGAAUAGGGUUGUGCGGCUCUCGCUACAAUUGCGCCGAAAGUAUGGCCGGGUUUGUUGAUGGAACAAUCACACAACUUAUGGAGAAGAAGAAGCAACUUGAUUGGGUCACGGUUAACUCUAUGCUUGUUUCAUGGAUGGAUGUUAAAGAGUAGGGAGCCCAAGAUUUCUACAUCUAUUCCAUUUCAUGAUAAUGCUAAGAAAUUGUGGGAUUACUUAGCCAAGAAAUACGGCAUUGCUAAUGAGCCUCGACUACAACAGCUUCGUGGAGAAAUUGUGGCUUGCAAACAAGGUAAGGGAAUGUCCAUGGAGGAAUACUACACUACUCUGAUGGGUCUGUAUGACGAUUUAGUUCAAUUCAAGCUGUUGCGUGCUUGUGAGUGCGGGAAAUGUUCUUGUAACAAGGUUGAGGUACUCUUUAUCCUAUAACACAUUUUGUGAAUUGUGACAUUUUUUUAAUACGACACAGUAUAUUUCUUGCAGUUGUAAUUGCAGGACUUGAGCCUAAAACUUUUAAUGAGGCCAUGAAAGAUGCCGGUUGGAGGGAAGCAAUGCAAAAAGAAAUUGGGGGGCUCGAGGAAAAUGAGACUUGGGUCAUGGAAGACUUACUGCCCGAUAAGAAAGCUCGUGGAUGCAAAUGGGUUUAUAAAAUCAAGUUUCAUGCGAAUGUCGCAGCAACAAAGAAUCGAGAGUUGCAUCAGAUGGACGUUCAUAAUGAAUUUUUGCAUGGUGACCUAGAUGAGGAGGUAUACAUGAAACUGUCACCCGAUUUUAACGUCGACAAACCCGAAAUGGUUUGUCGCUUGAAGAAAUCGCUUUAUGGUCUGAAACAAGCACCUAGGUGUUGGUUUUCUAAGUUAGUUGCAUCGUUACGGAAUUGUACGAGGUUUCCUUCAGCCCUACUCAGACUAUUCUCUCUUUACUUUCACAAAGGGAAAGGUUCAACUUAAUGUGCUUGUGUACGUUGAUGAUUUAAUUAUAUCUAAUAAUGACUCUUUUGCUAUAUUGCUUCUUUCAAACACUAUUUGGGCAAAUAUUUUCAUAUGAAAGAUUUGGGCGUGUUGAAGUAUUUUCUUGGAAUUGAGGUGGCCCGUAGUCCAGAGGGAAUUUUUAUAUGUCAACGAAAAUAUACUCUUGAUAUUAUUGCAGAAGCGGGAUUAUUAGGUAUGAAACGUGCAAGAUUUCCAAUCGAACAAAAUCAUAUUCUCGCUCUUGCAAGUGGUUCUCUUCUCGAUGAUCCGGAACCAUAUCGGUGCCUUGUGGGUUGUCUUAUUUAUCUGUCAUUCGCUCGUUAUGAUUUGGCUUAUACAGUUCACAUAUUAGCGCAGUUUAUGCAAGUUCCGCGACAAGAUCAUUGGGAUGCCGCUAUUUGGGCCGUGUGUUAUUUGAAAGGGUUCCCUGGCCAAGGGAUUCUUCUGUGGACUGACUGUGAUUUACUUAAUUUGUCUAAUUGGUGCGAUUCUGAAUGGGCAAGCUUCCCCUUGACUUGGAGAUCUCUCGUGGGUUGGAUGGUAUUUCUUGGUGGUUUCCCAAUGUCUUGGAAAAUCAAGAAGCAACAUGUUGUUUCUCGCUCGUCUGCGGAGGUCGAGUACCGUGCUAUGGAAACCAUUACUUCGGAGUUGAGGUGGCUUAAACCCUUACUUCUUAGUAUUGGUGUUGCUCACCCCCAUGCCAUGGCUUUGUUUUGUGACAGUAAGUCCGCUCUACACAUUGCUCACAAUCCCGUAUUUCACGAACGCACGAAGCAUAUAGAGAUUGAUUGUCACUAUGUACGAGAUAUAGAUGCUAUUUAGGAGGGUAUUAUUACCAAUAGUUAGGUUUCUACAGACAAUCAAUUUGCUGACAUUUUAACGAAGGCAUUAGGCAAGAGAAAAAAUUUGUAUUUACUCUACAAGUUAGGCAUUUGUGAUCUCCAUGCUCCAAUUUGAGAAAGGGUAUUAGGGUUUAUUCAUUAGGGUUUAUUCAUUAAGGCUUAUGUAUUUAAUAUCUUGUAUAUAUUGGGCUUUGUAGGUUUGGCUUGUGGUUAAUUUAAACUUAGGAAGCUCAUAGCCAAAGUUGUACUAUAUAACACAAAUGAUA